UACGUAGGGUGCAAGCGUUAAUCGGAAUUACUGGGCGUAAAGCGUGCGCAGGCGGUGAUGUAAGACAGAUGUGAAAUCCCCGGGCUCAACCUGGGAACUGCAUUUGUGACUGCAUCGCUGGAGUGCGGCAGAGGGGGAUGGAAUUCCGCGUGUAGCAGUGAAAUGCGUAGAUAUGCGGAGGAACACCGAUUGCGAAGGCAAUCCCCUGGGCCUGCACUGACGCUCAUGCACGAAAGCGUGGGGAGCAAACAGG
rnacentral:rRNA from 1 species